rnacentral:rRNA from 1 species
CCUACGGGAGGCAGCAGUGAGGAAUAUUGGUCAAUGGGCGAAAGCCUGAACCAGCCAAGUAGCGUGAAGGAUGACUGCCCUAUGGGUUGUAAACUUCUUUUGUAAGGGAGGAAAAAAUCCUACGUGUAGCAUGAUGCAUGUACCUUAUGAAUAAGCAUCGGCUAACUCCGUGCCAGCAGCCGCGGUAAUACGGAGGAUGCGAGCGUUAUCCGGAUUUAUUGGGUUUAAAGGGUGCGUAGGCGGUUUUUUAAGUUAGUGGUUAAACGUCGGGGCUUAACCUUGAUUUGCCAUUAAUACUGUAAGACUAGAGUGCAGACGAGGUAGGCGGAAUAAG